CCAUCACUCCCAACUGCCCAUGUCACCAGCCCACUCAUGUCUACCACAACCAGACAAGUCACUUUUCCUGCAGAUGUCAAGGUGGCAAAAAGAUCUCGACCCGAUACUAUGGAAUGAUCAACUUUCGGCGGCCAGUUGGCAGCUCGUUCAUCAAAGUCUACCUAGCUCCUAUGUUCAUUUCUUUUGUCAUUGUCCUCACCUACUGGCUUCCUCCUGCAAAGGAUGAGACAAGAUUCUCGAUGUGCGCCGCAUCUCUCAUGUCGUCCAUAUUUUUCCACAUCAGUUUGCACAGCCAGUUGCCGCCGACUUCAACGCUAACAGAAGCAGACAACCU